UACGUAGGGGGCAAGCGUUGUCCGGAAUCAUUGGGCGUAAAGCGCGUGUAGGCGGCUGAGUAAGUCUGCUCUGAAAGCCCGGGGCUCAACCCCGGGAGGCGGGUGGAUACUGCUCAGCUCGAGUCCGGAAGAGGAGUGUGGAAUUCCUGGUGUAGCGGUGAAAUGCGCAGAUAUCAGGAGGAACACCAAUGGCGAAGGCAGCACUCUGGGACGGUACUGACGCUGAGAGACGAAAGCUAGGGGAGCGAAUGGG
rnacentral:rRNA from 1 species